GGGCGCAUAGCUCAAUUGGUGGAGCGCUUCGUUUACAUCGAAGAGGUUUCAGGUUCGAGUCCUGAUGUGCCCA
rnacentral:tRNA from 3 species